rnacentral:lncRNA from 1 species
AUCUUCCUCUCUCUGGAUCUUUGCAGUGGGAUGCUUCUCGUUUUAUCCCAGUAACAGGAGUUUCUUCAAAACCACCCCUGCCUCUCACAGCAUGUUUUGACCUCCGAAGGGAGAAAACUGCAGCUGCAACCAGUCAACCAUAGCAGCCAAAGAGCAGGCGCCAGUAGCCCUCCUGGAAGCAGAAAUGGUUCUUGCCUGCUUUGGUUUUUCAUGAUGUCAUCCAUUCAUCAUUGUGAGCUGACUGGCUGCCCCUCAGGCCUUGGCCAGGUGCCCAUGAUCAGAAGGGAAGAGACAGAUCCCAGGACAACUGUGCAGAGGGCCCCUGAGCAUGUGCAGACAUGAUGACAUCAGUUCCACCUAGAAAGACUUGGUGGAAAUCGAAGAAGACAGUAAAAGUGAGAAGAUCUUAUUCAACCUUCCCUUCCUUGAAUGCCUGGGAAAAAUUCAGGGGCCUCUUGCCUGUGGAUGGGGAAACGAACCCUGGAGUGGGCCUGGGUGUGGAAGAAGGACUACUCUGCCAGAUGGUUCAUUCUCCAGAAUUCAAUCUGUUUCCUAACUCUGUGGUGUUUGAAAGCAACUUUGUCCAGGUCAGAAGGAGCAGAGACUGGAAAGAAAUCUAUAAGGCUUCCAACACCAUGGCCCUUGGGGUGACCUCCUCCGUACCUUGCCUUCCCCUUCCGAACAUCCUCCUUAUGGCCAGAGUCAUAUGGCAUCAGGGGCAGAGCCAGACAUGGAACAGAC